rnacentral:rRNA from 1 species
AACGAACGCUGGCGGCAGGCCUAACACAUGCAAGUCGAGCGAACUUUCGGGGGAGCGGCGGACGGGUGGGUAACGCGUGGGAAUAUGCUCACCUCUACGGAAUAGCCCCGGGAAACUGAGAGUAAUACCGUAUACGCCCUCUGGGGGCAGGAUAUAUCGUGGAAGGCUUAGUUCGCGUUGGAUUAGGUAGUUGGCGGGCUAAUGGGCUACCAAGCCGACAACCCAUAGCUGGUAUGAGAGGAAGAGCAGACACACUGGGGCUGAGACACAGCCCAGACUCCUACGGGAGGCAGGAGUGGGGAAUCUUAGACAAUGGGGGCAGCCAUGAUGGAGCCAUGCCGGGUGAGUGAUGAAGGCCUUAGGGUAGUAAAGCUCUUUCAACUGGGAAGAUAAUGACGGUACCAGCAGAAGAAGCCCCGGCUAACUCCGUG